GGCUGAUCCAGAGCCAGAGUUUUGUCCUAGGAACUUUUCUUUUGUACUUUUCAUCAAUACCGUCAUCCUCUUAAACUGGAGAGGUGGUGAGGCGUGUCUGUUUAGAGAACAUCUCUUUUUCCUCAUUAUAAUUGCAAGUAUCAUACCUAGAAACACCUCAAAUGUGCCACGAAUUCAAAAAGAAUGAAGGUUUGAAGUCAUUCAGGUUUUAAAUGACAAAUUGAGUGUCUGCCAUGGCAAGGUGAAUACUGCAAACAGUGAGGAGAAAAACUGUCUGGCAUGAGAUGCUUCUAUUGGAUCAUCAGGAAGCAACAGAACCAGCCACAGUUUGCUGUGAAUGUAUUUUCCCACAUCUCUUUGAAUAAUUAUUUAUUGAUCAUUGAAGGAACUAUGAUUUAUGAAACUGCUAGCCUAGACAAAACCCUCAAUCACUGAGUCACCAUGAUUAGUAUUUCAGAGUAGGGUGAAAAUGCAGUGCCACGCCUGGCAAGAAAUGUAAUCAUUUUCUGUCAUUUACUCGGCACAUGAUUUAAGAGACUGCUGCAAGAGGAUCCUUGACUGCUUUAUGCAGGGACCGUAUUAGGGAGGAAGUCAUAACUUUAAUAAAGAUGGCACAAAUAAACAUUUCAAGGGGUAGCUCACCUGAAAAUUAAAUGAUGUCUUCAUUUAUUUACCUUGAUUUCUUCAGUGAAAUACAAAAGGAUAAAUUAGGAAGUCUUGCGCUGCCUUCUUUUGUGUUCCACCGAAGAAAGUCAUAAAUAUUUGAAACAAAAUUCAAACAUGUAUGACUUUUGGUGGUACUCUUGGACAAAAGUUGCCAUUCUAUUAUCAAGAAAGAUAUUUUAUAAGGCAGAAACUUCAUAUAACUUGAAAUUGAUGUGACUCAAAGGUGGUUAUUUCAAUUUCCCGGACUUCUCAACUGUGAAAGGAAGCAGAGAUAAAGCAGUCAGUGAUCACGGUGGUCAUGUCGACUCUGAUCUGCUAUAAAUAAAAGAACAAUCUUUGAUUAUUUUUGCAUCAAUGCACAAUAUACAAAGGUUCAGUACUGUUCAUGUUACCUUUAAUAGUUUAUCUUUUGAACCUAUUAAAAUUCU